UAGGACGCCCACUUCCUUAAAAGGUCAAGGUGACCCUGGGGUCACGCGAGAUCCAUUAACGCGUGAAAUACAUCACGCGGACGACGUGCGCGCCGCCCUUCUGCCCAAUCAGCUGCUGGAUGAGGGCGCUCUCCCCGCGAGCCUCGCGGGGUCCGUGGGGGCUACUCGACCGUACUGCACCGCCUCGCCAGAUGCUGCCCAUGUUCGGCAACAGCCGAGUUGAGCGGCAUCGUGAAGUACAUUGGCGCUCGAACAAGCCCCAAUGAUCCGCAGCGGGGUGACACAACGGCGCAGGACAAUACUGUAGACGUUCGCUCGUGUACAUCGUUAACAAUAAGAAAAACAGCGGGGCAGCCUCUCACCUGCCGCUGCACACCCGCUCCGCUCAGCUGAUGAUGAUGAUGAUCAGCAGCAGCAGCAUCAUCAGCCAUGGUCCGUGCACUGCUAGAUGACGGGCCGUCUCCAUUGUUGACGAUGUGGUCCUAUGCGGACAGACGAGAAGCGCGUUGUCCAUUUCUCAAUCUUGCCAAAACAGAGAAAAAAACACCCGCUCCCAACCGGAUGCUGUGACUCAUUGCAUCACGCGGAGGAUCGCUCAAUAAACAAAACAGUUACGCGGGUCUGUCCGCGAGCACGAGUUCACAAGCCGGAUGGUAAAAAAAUUAACCCGUAAAAACAAAGUUUUUCACUAUAAAUCCUUUAUAUGCGUGUUCAAUGGGCCACAACCCAGCCCACAUUGGUCUUUGAAACGGGCGGCUAGAGUCCUCUCGUCCUCUGGCUUGAGAUGGCUGCCACCUAUGGGUCAGAUGAUUGCCUGCCACCAUUAAGCAAUUGGUAAUUAAAUAUAAUUAAUUUUUUCCUAAAAAGUGUAAAAUUUUGGAAAAAAAAUUUCACGAACAUAAAUUGUCACGCACAACGAGUCUGUGUGCAAAAUGUCAGCUCGAUUGGAUAACAGGAAGUGGGUUAAAAAACGACCGAAAGAUUUGCACGGUCGUAAGCGCGCAAGCAAGUGAACUUAAUAUAAAGGAUUUAAAAAUAUGCAUCUUACGGAAGUUCGUUCGUAAGUGUGUGUAUUAGUAAUAGGUUUUUACCCUUU